CCACCGUUUGGUAGAGCAACCAAGGGAGCCGGUCAAGCCGUCUUCUUCCAAGACGAAUUGAGUUGGCAGCCAUAUCUUCCUCCGCUCCGAUAACCUGCAGCCGACCGCCUCCUCCGCCGUCGUCCCCUCGGAUCGAUCCCCACCGCGGGCGAGCGUGGCUCUCUUUCGGUUUCAUCGUCCAUGGAUGACGACGUAACCGUCGUCGCACCGGUCGAUGUGUCAUCCUUCCCCUCCGCUGCGGUCUCCAUGGAUGCUAAUCAAGAUAGCGCCGUGGCAGGGUUACACUAAAUCUCAGCUUGCUGCCUACUAGUGACUUAGGCAAGGCUGUCUUGCGUCCGUUGACUUGGCAUUCCCGAUUCCAAUGUUAAAUCCAGGGUCUAUCCAUCAGUUAAUAGCAGCUCCAAUUGCCGAAUUUGAAGUUUCCCUCCGGCUGCUCCUCCGAAACUAAGGAAAUGAUUUGGUCACUGAGGACCAGGAUGGUAAUAAACCAGAGUAUCACGUCAGGCUGCUCGAGGUUUUUACGAUCGGUGACGCCGAAGGAGCUAGUACCCAGGCUGAUCAUCCCGUCUUCUGCACCAAGUUCAUUCUCGACUCGGGAGCUUCUACGCAUGCCACGGGAAACGCAUCCCUGUUUCCCUGGCUGAUCCCAGUACGACAGGGCCGUGAGGUUCGUGCUGCCAAUGGGCAUCAGCUAGCAGUUCGCGGCUUUGGGCCUGUGGUCAUGGAGAACUUCAGGGUGAACAACGUCCUCUACGUUCCCGGCCUCACCUGCAACGUCAUCUCCUUGUCGAAACUCAUCGACCUCAACUACAACGUGGCGUUCUCCCGCUCUGGGUGCCUGAUCAAGGACCUCAGGACCGGUGAGAUAGUUGGGAAUGCGCGCCUCAUUCAGGGGCUAUACCAACUCGAUCGGCUGGAGAUUCCAAUGGACAGGGCCCCUGCAGUGGCGCCAUAGGCGCUGGUUGUCGCCAGCAGCAUCCUGCAGACGCCUAUGAGCAUUCAUAAGCGGCUGUUGAAUGCAGUGACUGUGCCAGUUGUUUUUCUGUAUGCAUGUACUUUGUGUCUCUAAUAGUGGUGCAAAUUGGUGACACAUAGGUGCACCUCCACUCACUUUAGUUCAAAAUUUUCUACUACUUCUCCAAAAUGGGAUCUUAUUUUAAAGAAUUAUUAGUACUAAAGAGCAUUGGAGGUGGCCCUCAAGGGGGCCUUUCGAACACCUAAAGGUCACCAAUCUACACCUCUAGUAUCUAAUGCCAUUGAUUGGGUCCAUGUCAAUGGUAGCCGGACCUAGGCUUAUCAAAUGAAUGAAACACAUACCAUAUAAAUAUACAAUAAAGGUUGUUUCAUUGGGAUGAAAUUAUUUUGUU